rnacentral:rRNA from 1 species
UGGGGAAUAUUGCACAAUGGGCGCACGCCUGAUGCAGCAACGCCGCGUGAACGAUGAAGGUCUUCGGAUCGUAAAGUUCUUUUGCAGGGGAAGAUAAUGACGGUACGCUGUGAGGAAGCCCCGGCUAACUACGUGCCAGCAGCCGCGGUAAUACGUAGGGGGCUAGCGUUAUCCGGAUUUACUGGGCGUAAAGGGUGCGUAGGUGGUCUUUCAAGUCGGUGGUUAAAGGCUACGGCUCAACCGUAGUUAGCCUCCGAAACUGGAAGACUUGAGUGGAGGAGAGGAAAGUGGAAUUCCCAGGGUAGCGGUGAAAUGCGUAGAUAUUGGGAGGAACACCAGUAGCGAAGGCGGCUUUCUGGACUGCAACUGACACUGAGGCACGAAAGCGUGGGUAGCAAACAGG